ensembl:lncRNA
UGGAGCUCUCACUCUGAGCUCGAUGCUCCAUCCUCUCGCCUGUAAGUCACUCGAGGUCUCUUUUACACUGACUCGACUGAUCUAACAAUCGAGUCUGAACGCGAGUGAGACUAAUCAGUGUGUCGCAUUACGUGUUGCAGGUGUUUCUAGCUCGAGUCUGCUAAAUGGUCCCAUUUGUGUCCAGAGAAAUGCUACUAGAGACUAACGGAGCUGUGCUUAGAGAUGACGUUUGGGGUCGUGUUUCCAAUAUUUUUUAAAGGGAUCUCGAUGACCCUGAGCAUUAAAGGGAACGCCUUCAUUUGGUUGUUGGCUGGUAACGUUUUGCUGCCCGUUUGUUUUUUGUUUUUUCCCACAGCAGAGGGAAACUCAUGGAUACAGGGGCCUGUGGGUUUGCCACUUUGAACUCUUUUUUUCUCACCAGAUACUGGAUGCCGUUGUCGUCGAAGUGUCUGCAGCUCUGAGGGAAGCGACUGAGCAGGACCUUGAUGAGACUCUGGUACCAGGCUGGACCCAUGGUCAGGAAACAGUCCUGCAGCAACACGUUCACACUACAGUUACAACACUGACCAUCAGAAACUUUCACUGGGUUUCACCUGCAAAGUCAAAUAUUCAAGCUGCAGAUGUAUCAUUUAAAAGCUCCUCCUUUAACUAACAAAAUCCUGAAGCCUCCUGAUGUGUUAGGAACAUUUACCUCCCAUUCACAGCUCCUGCUAACAUGUAUGUGCGAGCUGAUGUUUGAUCUGCAGGUCACCUGCAGCUGGCUGAGGUCACAGCGAGAGCCUGAUCACCUCCAAAUGUUUCUCAUACUGUGGGAGCACCGAUGCUUAGCUGUGUGCUGGUGUUGCUUUGCGUUUCAAAUGACAGGGUGUCGAGCUGCUGGCGGUUCAUUUGUGUCGAGCUGUGGUCUUAGUAAUCAAGGUGUUUGGUAUUGCUGAUGUUUGAUGGUCAUAACUGAAUCUUGAUUUUAAGGCUAAAAUUAGAGUCUCACCAGCUGCGGGUCGAUUUCCCCCACUGAUCGGCUCUGCACAGCCUCCAGCAGCUCCUCCAGCUCGCUGAACGACAACUUGGCCAGCUUCAGUUUAUCCAGGGCCACAUGCUCGCCGUGGAACAGCCUCCUCCACAGGUUGUCCCUGCGGCAGUGACCCAUGGCCUGCUCCACGCUGAUCUGGAUCUGUCUGCGGGCAGACGCCACCUCGUUGUUGAGAAGAGGGAACAGAGGGGAGGCGUAGAGGAGCCCCUGAGCCUCUGGUCCACCGCCUGUCAGAGGGUAAAACUCGUUGCCAUCACUUGGAGCCAAGGGUGCUGAAGCUUCAGACGAACCCUCCUCCCAGAGGUCCUGCUCAGAACCACGUGACCCAGAAGCCUCUGCUCGAUCCUGGGAGAGCCGUCCCCCCAGCUCUCCGGGAUCACGGUGGAUUUGAGGAAGCUUCUUAAAGCGGCGCAUGUCUGCAGUGAGGCGUGGGAAUAGCUCCCGCUGACUGGUCAUGAUCACGUAGAAGCGUAGCCUAUGAAAGGGGACGAGAUGAGACUCAGCAAAAGUUUAUCCAGUGCCUUCAGUGAUGUACUGUUAACACAUUUGUUUGGCCCGUGAAACGUCCACCAGUCCUCUUUAGGUUGUGUCAGGACAUGUCAGAUAAAACAAACAUGGUGUCAGCCCAGAUAUGAGUAACUAUCACACAGCCUCUAUGCUGCAGUCUGUAGAUCUUACCUGAGCAGAUGCCUCUCCCCGUCUGACUGCUCCUCAAACGGAGCAGCGUUGUGACACACCACCAGGGAAACAUCGAAGUCAUCGUGGUGGGGCAGACCGUCCAGAUCCUUGUAGGAGCCCGAACUAAAGCAAGAGGAGCCAACAAAGCGGUGUUCCUGCAGUCUGGCAGACAAAUUAAGUGUGACCUCCUGGCCUGUUAUCUAUGGAGCCUGGAAGCCAAUGGGACUGCGCGGCUCUCCUCAGU